ensembl:lncRNA
CUUGAACAAUCCUGAAGUUCUAUGAAACCCACUCUAAACCAUCAAUUUAGUUUACCCAUUUCUCAUACAGAGGGUAAGGUGAAACUAACUCUGAAAGGAAUUUGUCCAAGUCUAGAUAAGACAUGCAGAUCAUGUCCCACUGUUCAGUUCAGUAAUAGAUGCUAUGAAUUCCCAAGAGGACCAGCAGAUUCUUUCAACCACGUCACCCAGAUUCAAGACACAGAGGUUCCAGUUCAGUUACUGUGCAUUACAGCUUCAGAUAUCUAAAGGGAACACACUGAUUAGUUAAGACUUGUUUUUAGGCAAAAAUAUAUGUGACCCAUAUUUGGAAUCAGAACAUUAGUUGCAAUCUGUGCUUGGAGGCAGACGUGUUUGUUUAUUCUACGAGUUUUUAAAGUGGCAACUCCCCUGCAGCGAAUUACUUAAUGACUCAAACACAAACCCCAAACUCCAAACUGGCUCAGGAGAGGUGACGAUUAUGGAAAAUUCUACUUCAUCUAGCCCAAAGAACUGACCACCCGUGAGCUGGGAAACAGACCUCAAAGCAGGAAAGAAACAGAAGUGUCCAAAGAAGAAAUGGAAAACACAACCCAGAAAAAGCUGACCCUCAAGAAAGAAGUCAGACUCCAGACCCGUGUCCGUUUUCCAGAACUGAAGAGCUAUACGCGCUGAGCAAGGACAUACUAAGUUUCCUGCUUCCCAUGGAGAAAAGCAAGUGCUACCCUAGCCCUUAAUUAAGGAUGUUAUCAUUGGUGACAAUGAUGAAGAGGAAAUUUGGACAUGCAGAGAGAUACCAGAGAUGUACACACACAGAGAGAAAAAGCCACAGGAAGACGCAGUGAGAAAGUAGCCACCGGCAAGCCAAGAAGAG